rnacentral:misc_RNA from 1 species
UCCGGCUUUCACCGGCUGUCUCUCUAGAGUGCCCAACUUAAUGCUGGCAACUAAAGAUAAGGGUUGCGCUCGUUGCGGGACUGAACCCAACAUCUCACGACACGAGCUGACGACAACCAUGCACCACCUGUCUCCUCUGUCCCGAAGGAACAGUCUAUCUCUAAACCUGUCAGAGGGAUGUCAAGACCUGGUAAGGUUCUUCGCGUUGCGUCGAAUUAAACCACAUGCUCCACCGCUUGUGCGGGCCCCCGUCAAUUCCUUUGAGUUUCAACCUUGCGGCCGUACUCCCCAGGCGGAGUGCUUAAUGGGUUACCUUCGGCACUGGGAGCGGAAGCCCCCAACACCUAGCACUCAUCGUUUACGGCGUGGACUAC